ACUGAUCUCACUCGUGGUCAGAGCUCAGUACAGGCCCAUCCGUCACGGGGCUGAUUUGGUUCAGCAGGUGUUGGCUGGGCAAUCGCUCAUUUCAGGCUAAUCUGCUAGCGGCUGUCAGGGGUUAUGGAGUAUUUAUUGAGUUUGUGUCAGGUCCGGAUGACCAAUAGCCAACAGCCGGUGGAUACGCACUGACAUUGAUGAUAUUGCUGAAUUAAACGCGGUGAUGUAUACUCAACUUGCUUAGAGCCAGGAAUGGACCCUGGGAUCAUUUUAUAAUCUGAUGCAGACAAUUCCUGGGCUUUCCUUUUCAAAGAAAACAUCACACACAUGGCGUUUCUAUUUAAAGAAAAAAGUACACGGUCCCCAACAAAUGUAGUCACGUCCAUAUUUAAAUGAACAAGAGCAUUUUCUGGGGAGACUGGAGGGAAUAAAUAAGAUCCAGAUAUUUGGCAAACAGCCUUCCAUGCACUGCCAAGACCCGUUGGAUUCCCAACAUUUAGAUUUCAGGCCUCACCAGAAAGACAUUCGUUGGUGACCCAGACUCAGGAUUAUGAACAUAAAUUCAGAGUCUGCCUUUGGUGGCAACAUGAUGUCACAAAGAAGAGCACUGGAGUUGGAGUCAGACAGCAAAUAGGAUAGUGAUGCCAUCUGAAGGGUGAACGUGAAGUCAUGCAAGAUGCUGUAUGUGCUGAUAUCAGGAGACGGCUUCUUAUACUUGGUCUCUCUCUCCUUUUCUUCUCCUAGAACCAUCACUCUCCCUCCAACCUCACCCAAACCCCAAAGCAACCACUCAAGCCAUGUGAAGCAUUGAAGUACAUUCCAGAGAAGUCUCUGCUGUUCCCGGGGCUCCGAGCCACAAGCUGCAAUGGGCAUGCGUGGAGCCCAGCUGUUUUUUACUGAUCUCUUCUGCCGGUCCUCUCUCUCUCUCUGAAGUAGCAGAACUCCAGCUCCACCGGUUCCAAGCUCACAGUCCCAAGUCACUGGAGUAUGUUUGCCAGUCUGAGUCCACGUCCAAGGGAGAAUAUUUGAACUGCCUCAGAAGUGCUAGAGUUGCUAAUGACUAAAGUGGUGUAAGGCACACUCUCC
rnacentral:lncRNA from 1 species